CUCGCGGCCUAUCAGCUAGUUGGUGAGGUAAUGGCUCACCAAGGCGACGACGGGUAGCCGGCCUGAGAGGGUGACCGGCCACACUGGGACUGAGACACGGCCCAGACUCCUACGGGAGGCAGCAGUGGGGAAUAUUGCACAAUGGGCGAAAGCCUGAUGCAGCGACGCCGCGUGAGGGAUGACGGCCUUCGGGUUGUAAACCUCUUUCAGUAGGGAAGAAGCGAAAGUGACGGUACCUGCAGAAGAAGCACCGGCUAACUACGUGCCAGCAGCCGCGGUAAUACGUAGGGUGCAAGCGUUGUCCGGAAUUAUUGGGCGUAAAGAGCUCGUAGGCGGUUUGUCGCGUCGGGUGUGAAAUCCGGGGGCUCAACCCCCAGCCUGCAUUGGGUACGGGCAGACUAGAGUGCGGUAGGGGAGAUUGGAAUUCCUGGUGUAGCGGUGGAAUGCGCAGAUAUCAGGAGGAACACCGAUGGCGAAGGCAGAUCUCUGGGCCAUUACUGACGCUGAGGAGCGAAAGCGUGGGGAGCGAACAGGAUUAGAUACCCUGGUAGUCCACGCCGUAAACGGUGGGAACUAGAUGUGGGGGCACAUUCCACGUUGUCGGUGUCGCAGCUAACGCA
rnacentral:rRNA from 1 species